AGAGUUUGAUCCUGGCUCAGGACGAACGUUGGCGGCGUGCCUAACACAUGCAAGUCAAGGGGAAAGUUUGGUUUCGGCCGAGCGAGUAUACUGGCGGAUGGGUGAGUAACGCGUAGGUAACCUGCCCUUGUGCGAGGGAUAACCCACCGAAAGGCGGACUAAUACCUCAUAACGCAACGUAUUCGCAUGGAAAGGUUGUUAAAGUCUGCCGCAAGGCAGAUGCGUAAGGAUGGGCCUGCGUUCCAUUAGUUAGUUGGUGAGGUAAGGGCUCACCAAGGCGACGAUGGAUAGCUGGUUUGAGAGAGUGAUCAGCCACACUGGGACUGAGAUACGGCCCAGACUCCUACGGGAGGCAGCAGUGAGGAAUAUUGCGCAAUGGAGGCAACUCUGACGCAGCAACGCCGCGUGGGGGAUGAAUCUCUAUGGAGUGUAAACCCCUGUAAGCAGGGACGAAAGGUGUAUAGUCGAACAGGCUAUACAUUUGACGGUACCUGCAGAGUAAGCUCCGGCUAACUCCGUGCCAGCAGCCGCGGUAAUACGGGGGGAGCGAGCGUUGUCCGGAAUUACUGGGCGUAAA
rnacentral:rRNA from 1 species